rnacentral:rRNA from 1 species
GACGAACGCUGGCGGCGUGCUUAACACAUGCAAGUCGAACGGAAAGGCCCUGCUUUUGUGGGGUGCUCGAGUGGCGAACGGGUGAGUAACACGUGAGUAACCUGCCCUUGACUUUGGGAUAACUUCAGGAAACUGGGGCUAAUACCGGAUAGGAGCUCCUGCUGCAUGGUGGGGGUUGGAAAGUUUCGGCGGUUGGGGAUGGACUCGCGGCUUAUCAGCUUGUUGGUGGGGUAGUGGCUUACCAAGGCUUUGACGGGUAGCCGGCCUCAGAGGGUGACCGGCCACAUUGGGACUGAGAUACGGCCCAGACUCCUACGGGAGGCAGCAGUGGGGAAUAUUGCACAAUGGGCGGAAGCCUGAUGCAGCAACGCCGCGUGCGGGAUGACGGCCUUCGGGUUGUAAACCGCUUUCGCCUGUGACGAAGCGUGAGUGACGGUAAUGGGUAAAGAAGCACCAGCUAACUACGUG